rnacentral:lncRNA from 1 species
CAUUGGCAAUCAUUCCACAUCUUCUUUUAUAUGCAUACAUUUUAUGAUGGAGAAUUGCUGCUCCCAAGGAAGCUAUUAAACCAAGAGUUCCAAAUGGUGAAGUUGAAAUAAUCCCUUCGUAAAUUUUACGGACGCCAUCACGAGUUGGUUGACCGUUAUAAAAUAACCGUUUCACAUAUGAUAUCGGAUAUGUUACUUAUGUCGUAACUACAAUAC